GACGAACGCUGGCGGCGUGCUUAACACAUGCAAGUCGAACGGAAAGGCCCUGCUUUUGUGGGGUGCUCGAGUGGCGAACGGGUGAGUAACACGUGAGUAACCUGCCCUUGACUUUGGGAUAACUUCAGGGAACUGGGGCUAAUACCGGAUAGGAGCUCCUGCUGCAUGGUGGGGGUUGGAAAGUUUCGGCGGUUGGGGAUGGACUCGCGGCUUAUCAGCUUGUUGGUGGGGUAGUGGCUUACCAAGGCUUUGACGGGUAGCCGGCCUGAGAGGGUGACCGGCCACAUGGGGACUGAGAUACGGCCCAGACUCCUACGGGAGGCAGCAGUGGGGAAUAUUGCACAAUGGGCGGAAGCCUGAUGCAGCAACGCCGCGUGCGGGAUGACGGCCUUCGGGUUGUAAACCGCUUUCGCCUGUGACGAAGCGUGAGUGACGGUAAUGGGUAAAGAAGCACCGGCUAACUACGUG
rnacentral:rRNA from 1 species